UGGUAGGGAUGGUAGGUGUGGGGAUGGUAGGGAUGGUAGGUGUAAUGGUAAGUGGAGUGGUUGUAGGUGUGGUGAAGGUAGGUAUGGUAGGUGUGAUUAUGGUAGAUGUGGUGAUGGUAGGUGUGGUGAUGGUAAGUGUGGUGAUGUUAGGUGUGGUGACGGUAGGUGUGGUAGGUGUGGUUAUGGUAGAUGUGAUGAUGGUAGGUGUGGUGACGGUAGGUAUGGUAGGUGUGUUAGGUUUUGUGAUGUAGGUGUGAGAGAAGUGGUGAUGGUAGG
ensembl:lncRNA